rnacentral:rRNA from 1 species
UGAGUAACCUGCCCUUAACUCUGGGAUAAGCCUGGGAAACUGGGUCUAAUACCGGAUAUGACUCCUCAUCGCAUGGUGGGGGGUGGAAAGCUUUAUUGUGGUUUUGGAUGGACUCGCGGCCUAUCAGCUUGUUGGUGAGGUAACGGCUCACCAAGGCGACGACGGGUAGCCGGCCUGAGAGGGUGACCGGCCACACUGGGACUGAGACACGGCCCAGACUCCUACGGGAGGCAG